rnacentral:rRNA from 1 species
AGAGUUUGAUCCUGGCUCAGAACGAACGCUGGCGGCGCGUCUUAAGCAUGCAAGUCGGGCGGGAUCCAUGCGCUUGCGCAUGGUGAGAGCGGCGGACUGGCGAGUAACACGUGGGCGACGCGCCCUCCGGACGGGAAUAGCCUGUAGAAAUACAGGGUAAUGCCGGUUGCGAACGCGCGCGCUGGAGGCGCGCGUGGAAAGCCCCCACGGGGGCGCCGGAGGAGCGGCCCGCGGCCCAUCAGCCUGUAGGCGGUGCAAGGGACCACCUAGGCUACGACGGGUACCCGGCCUCAGAGGGCGGACGGGCGCAUUGGGACUGAGAUACGGCCCAGACUCCUACGGGAGGCAGCAGCUAAGAAUAUUCCGCAAUGGGGGGAACCCUGACGGAGCGACGCCGCGUGGGCGAGGAAGGCCGGAAGGUUGUAAAGCCCUUUUGCGCGCGAGGAAUAAGGGGAGGAGGGAAUGCCUUCCCGGUGACUGUAGCGCGCGAAUAAGCGCCGGCUAAUUACGUGCCAGCAGCCGCGGUAACACGUAAGGCGCGAGCGUUGUUCGGAAUCAUUGGGCGUAAAGGGCGUGUAGGCGGCCCUGCAAGCCUGGCGUGAAAUCCCGGGGCUCAACCCCGGAACCGCGCUGGGAACUGCUGGGCUGGAGCCGCUGUGGCGCAGCCGGAAUUCCAGGUGUAGGGGUGAAAUCUGUAGAUAUCUGGAAGAACACCGAUGGCGAAGGCAGGCUGCGAGCGGACGGCUGACGCUGAGGCGCGAAGGCGCGGGGAGCGAACAGGAUUAGAUACCCUGGUAGUCCGCGCAGUAAACGAUGCACACUGGGUGUCCGGGCAUGAGCCCGGGUGCCGAAGCGAACGCGUUAAGUGUGCCGCCUGGGGAGUAUGCCCGCAAGGGUGAAACUCAAAGGAAUUGACGGGGGCCCGCACAAGCGGUGGAGCAUGUGGUUUAAUUCGAUGGUACGCGAAGAACCUUACCAAGGCUUGACAUUGAAUGACCGCUUCAGAGAUGGAGCUUCUUCUUCGGAAGCAUGAAAACAGGUGGUGCAUGGCUGUCGUCAGCUCGUGUCGUGAGAUGUUGGGUUAAGUCCCGCAACGAGCGCAACCCCUAUCCUAUGUUACCAGCAAGUAAAGUUGGGGACUCAUAGGAGACUGCCAAGGACAACUUGGAGGAAGGCGGGGAUGACGUCAAGUCAUCAUGCCCCUUAUGUCUUGGGCUACACACGUACUACAAUGGUCGACAACAGAGGGAAGCAAAGCCGCGAGGCAGAGCAAAACCCAGAAACUCGAUCUCAGUUCGGAUCGCAGGCUGCAACCCGCCUGCGUGAAGUCGGAAUCGCUAGUAAUCGCAGGUCAGCAUACUGCGGUGAAUACGUUCCCGGGCCUUGCACACACCGCCCGUCA